ensembl:lncRNA
GAUGCUGCAUGUCUAAUUGAUUAUUUUAAUACUUGGAACACAGUUUGGUUUUGAAAAGUCAGUUGAUGGCAGGCCCUGUGAAUAUCUUCUUAUGUCCUGCACAGCGUGGAUCAGAGUGUUCCAUGAGCGCUCGCCUGACCUCAGGAUGCAGUGGAUCUGUGUGCUGUUUCUCUCCAGUGGUCCUUUCCACGUUGUCAGUGUCUUUUCUUAAACAACUCUGAAGUCACCAAAAAGGAAUGGACACUUGGUGCUGCUUGCUGUCGGGCCUUAGCAGGUGUGGAGUUGUCACUGCACACAGGAGCUCACACAUUUAUGAGAAGCACACACAAUGCUCACACGAGGAACAGAAGCCCUGGUGCUGAGGAAGGAGGUGUGGCCUGGGCACCCAGUAUGCUGCACAUGCACCAUGCUCAUUGCCUGCUGGUCUUUGAGGUCCAGGACCUGAUUAAGCUUCACUGCUUAAUUGCUGGAAAGGACCACUUGGUGUGAGUUAGAGGUCAUAGGUCAGUGCCAUCACCCAGCAGCAGACUGUCUCCGGGGGUGUCACCACUGUGCUGCAUGUACCUUGACACGGCAUCAUGGGGUGUCUGCAGGCACCCUGGGAAGCACGAGUCUCCAUGCAUAACCACCACUAAACCAGGGGUCUGAGCCUUGAUGUUCACAGGCAGCGUGGAAGAUGGGCUCCAACAACACAGGCAGUCUGGCCUUCCCCAUCCUGACCCUGCUUCAGAGGCAGAGUGAAACCCCUUGUCUACCCACAGAGAGGGUGGCAGGGGUCGGAGUGCCUUCCAUGAAGGAAGCCUCAUCAUCACCAGUGGGUGUGCAGGCCAGGCCCCGCCUCUUUCCAUAAGGAGCUCACCGAACAGUGUCCACCUGUGUCCCACCACCAGCCUCAGGUCUUCACUGUGGCAGCGCUGCAGCUCUUGGGAUAGUGCUGACAUCCCUGGCUUGCCCAUUGACUAGGAGCAGCAGAGGAUCAGGAGGCCCCAUGGAGGCACUGAGCAGCCUCUUCAUGCCAUGCGGAUGAGUUGGCUGUGCCCAUGGACGGCCCGUGUUUGCACUGGCUUCCCUUCCCAAGGCAGUCAUUCUCACCAUGGACCCUAACUGACUCUGCCAGGCACUGAGUCUUGCGUUUUCGUAUGUGGCAGGCUGCGCAUAAGUGUGUGCACAUAACAUGUGCAUCACUAUGUGAUGUUAACUGUUCUCCAGUGCAGCUGUUAAAUCCAUCCUGACCAAAAGCAUUUUAAGUUCAGAAUUGCUUUUAAAAGUAGUGGUUUUUGGGCCAGGGAUUUGGCUCAGUGGUUUCCCUGCCUGCUGUGCAAGCACAAGGACCAGAGCUCGAUCCCCGGUACCAAAAAAAAAAAGCGGUUUUAAACUGUAUUUGUGACACCUACAUUUGAAGCACUGCAGGCUGCAUGGACAAUGCUUGGUGUUAAUCAGAACUUUACCCUGUGGGUUGAGAACUGGUAGUGUAUGAAAUGACUAAAAAGAAGCCUUCUGUUAGGGGUUUCAUCUUUACAACAGGUACACAGAACAAACUAGUUUGUUAAAAUGUAAAUAAAAUCUAUUUUCUUACA